UACAGAGGGUGCGAGCGUUAAUCGGAAUUACUGGGCGUAAAGCGUGCGUAGACGGCUAUCUAAGUCGGGUGUGAAAGCCCCGGGCUCAACCUGGGAAUUGCAUUCGAGACUGAAUAGCUAGGGUACGGUAGAGGAAGGUGGAAUUCCCGGUGUAGCAGUGAAAUGCGUAGAGAUCGGGAGGAACACCAGUGGCGAAGGCGGCCUUCUGGACCAAUACUGACGCUCAUGCACGAAAGCGUGGGGAGCAAACAGG
rnacentral:rRNA from 1 species